GGAGAAAAUUAGAAAAUCUUAGUUUGCCUGCCUGGUGGAUAGUGUUUAGCUGCCACGGAUGGCAGCUAAAGUCUUAACGUCCCAUGGACGGGACGUUUAAGACGUACACGUCACCUUGAAAAAAUUUAAAUCAGGCAAACCUGGAUUUUCUUAUUUUCGGAC
rnacentral:ncRNA from 1 species